rnacentral:rRNA from 1 species
ACUCCUACGGGAGGCAGCAGUGGGGAAUAUUGCACAAUGGGCGCAAGCCUGAUGCAGCAACGCCGUGUGAGUGAAGAAGGUUUUCGGAUCGUAAAACUCUGUCCUAAGGGAAGAAACAAAUGACGGUACCUUAGGAGGAAGCCCCGGCUAACUACGUGCCAGCAGCCGCGGUAAUACGUAGGGGGCAAGCGUUAUCCGGAAUCACUGGGCGUAAAGGGUGCGUAGGCGGCUUAGCAAGCCAGGGGUGAAAGGCAUUGGCUCAACCAAUGUAAGCCUUUGGAACUGUUAAGCUUGAGUGCAGGAGAGGUAAGUGGAAUUCCUAGUGUAGAGGUGAAAUUCGUAGAUAUUAGGAGGAACACCAGUGGCGAAGGCGACUUUCUGGACUGUAACUGACGCUGAGGCACGAAAGCGUGGGGAGCGAACAGGAUUAGAUACCCUGGUAGCACAGAG